AUGAAAUCUGAAUUUUUAACUGCGCGUUAUUCCCCUUUUAACUCCACGUCUGCCUUCAGAAGAUUACAAUGCACGGGAGAUGGCGGUAGUUUUCCCCACUGUGGCUUCUCCGGAUUAUACGUGCCUUUAGUACUUACAUAAGUGGCUUUAUUUUUCUAUCCAUUUAGCCAUGGGUAGCUUUCCCUAGUCUAUCUCCACUUAAAUUGCCUUUGGGUCUUCAAAAUUACUGACUGGGAAUAAAAUACCUUCUUAAGACAGACAAAAAUCAGCACAUUGCUCUCUCUAGUGGGAAUGGCAAACAUCGUGUCCACCAGUCACAUAUAUAAUUGUUCUCUACGGCCUCGGUCUCUCCAUUUUGACAUUAAUUAAUCUGAAGCAAUCUCCAAACUGCCCAUGGGGCCAAGACCUCGUGCCUCCAAACCUUCAAUUCCCAUGAUUGAAUUUCACAGAGUUCAUCUCUCCAGCCCUUAACUUUGCCACCUCACUAAUGGUGAUGGAGGAGGAGAAAAAAAAAAGAAAGGAUACUAAAAAAAAGAAGAAUAGGGAAGAAAAAAAACUUUCACUAUCAGCCUUAUUCUUUUUGCUAUCCAUCAUGGGCCAUAGAGGGGAGGACAAAGACAAAUACAGCCAGCCAGAACCUCAGCAGAGAGCGAGAAGGAUGACCCUCUUGGACUCUGGUGCUGCAUUUCAUUAUCUCACCAAGUUCAUUCAUUCACUACCUUUGGACGGAUUUGGCUCUUAUAAACACUCCAUCAUACCGCUGCACUGCAUUGUAGCAGGCUGAUGAGACCAGGGCAGAACUACAAGGGUCAGAUAAAGAUGGAGUAAACGUUCAUAAUGAUGUUAUAAGUGAGAAAACAGAGUAUAAAGCUCAAUCAGGGGAGCGCUAUAUUUACCUCAGUCACAACUUGUUUGAACCAUGCUAAUGUUAAUGCGACUGUGGUAGCGUUUGGAGCUAAUUGCUAACAUCAGCAUGCUUAUACCUUGUAGUUUUUCAUGCGUAGCACCAUCAGACAAUAAGGCUAAAGGCCGUCCAUAAGAGGAACGAUGGGUAUUUAGACAAUAAAGAGCCAGU
ensembl:lncRNA